AACGUGGACCCGUAAUCCGGGUUGCGGACAGUGUCUGGUGGGUAGUUUGACUGGGGCGGUCUCCUCCUAAAGAGUAACGGAGGAGCACGAAGGUUGGCUAAUCCUGGUCGGACAUCAGGAGGUUAGUGCAAUGGCAUAAGCCAGCUUGACUGCGAGCGUGACGGCGCGAGCAGGUGCGAAAGCAGGUCAUAGUGAUCCGGUGGUUCUGAAUGGAAGGGCCAUCGCUCAACGGAUAAAAGGUACUCCGGGGAUAACAGGCUGAUACCGCCCAAGAGUUCAUAUCGACGGCGGUGUUUGGCACCUCGAUGUCGGCUCAUCACAUCCUGGGGCUGAAGUAGGUCCCAAGGGUAUGGCUGUUCGCCAUUUAAAGUGGUACGCGAGCUGGGUUUAGAACGUCGUGAGACAGUUCGGUCCCUAUCUGCCGUGGGCGCUGGAGAACUGAGGGGGGCUGCUCCUAGUACGAGAGGACCGGAGUGGACGCAUCACUGGUGUUCGGGUUGUCAUGCCAAUGGCACUGCCCGGUAGCUAAAUGCGGAAGAGAUAAGUGCUGAAAGCA
rnacentral:rRNA from 1 species